GCCCCGGUAGUGUAAUGUAUCAGCACGGCAGACCGGAUAUCUGUAAGAGCGGGUUCGAAUCCCGUCUGAGAUU
rfam:Dictyocaulus viviparus strain HannoverDv2000 D_viviparus-1.0_Cont1028.6, whole genome shotgun sequence.